CACAGACAACCAGGAUGUUGGCUUAGAAGCAGCCACUCAUUCAAAGAGUGCGUAAUAGCUCACUGGUCGAGUGAUCCUGCGCCGAAGAUUGCCGGGGCUAAAACUUACUACCGAAGCUACGGCAUCAUUAUGAUGGGUAGGGGAGCUUCCCAUACGGGUUGAAGCAUGACCGUAAGGACAUGUGGACAGUAUGGGAGUGAGAAUGUUGGCAUGAGUAG
rnacentral:rRNA from 1 species